UACGAAGGGGGCUAGCGUUGUUCGGAUUUACUGGGCGUAAAGCGCACGUAGGCGGAUCGUUAAGUCGGGGGUGAAAUCCUGGAGCUCAACUCCAGAACUGCCUUCGAUACUGGCGAUCUUGAGUCCGGAAGAGGUGAGUGGAACUCCUAGUGUAGAGGUGGAAUUCGUAGAUAUUAGGAAGAACACCAGUGGCAAAGGCGGCUCACUGGUCCGGUACUGACGCUGAGGUGCGAAAGCGUGGGGAGCAAACAGGG
rnacentral:rRNA from 1 species